rnacentral:rRNA from 1 species
CCUACGGGUGGCAGCAGUGAGGAAUAUUGGUCAAUGGGCGGAAGCCUGAACCAGCCAAGUAGCGUGCGGGAUGAAGGCCCUACGGGUCGUAAACCGCUUUUGCACGGGGAUAACACCCGCCACUUGUGGAGGUCUGCAGGUACCGUGCGAAUAAGGGCCGGCUAAUUCCGUGCCAGCAGCCGCGGUAAUACGGAAGGGCCGAGCGUUAUCCGGAUUCAUUGGGCUUCACGGGCGCGUAGGCGGGCGUUCAAGUCAGCUGUAAACUCGCGCGGCUCCACCGCGCCCCGCAGUUGAAACUGGCCGCCUUGAGUUCGCCACAUGCAGGCGGCCUUCGUGGUGUAGCGGU